AACGAUGAAACUUAAAUGAUUUCUUCGGAAUGAACUUAAGUGGAUUAGUGGCGGACGGGUGAGUAACGCGUGAGUAACCUGCCUUACGCAAGGGGAUAGCCGUUGGAAACGACGAAUAAUACCCUAUGAAACUAUCACUUCGCAUGAAGCGAUAGUCAAAGUGUUAGCGGUGUAAGAUGGACUUGCGUCUGAUUAGCUAGUUGGUGAGAAAAAAGCCCACCAAGGCAACGAUCAGUAGCCGGCUUGAGAGAGUGUACGGCCACAUUGGGACUGAGACACGGCCCAGACUCCUACGGGAGGCAGCAGUGGGGAAUUUUGCACAAUGGGGGAAACCCUGAUGCAGCGACGCCGCGUGAUUUAGAAGGCCUUCGGGUUGUAAAAAUCUUUUGUAUAGGAAGAAAAUGACAGUACUAUACGAAUAAGGUCCGGCUAAUUACGUGCCAGCAGCCGCGGUAAUACGUAAGGACCGAGCGUUGUCCGGAAUCAUUGGGCGUAAAGGGUACGUAGGCGGGUCAUUAAGUUAGAAGUCAAAGGCUAUAGCUCAACUAUAGUAAGCUUCUAAAACUGGCGACCUUGAGUAAUGGAAGGGAAAGUGGAAUUCCUAGUGUAGCGGUGGA
rnacentral:rRNA from 1 species